UACGUAGGGGGCUAGCGUUGUCCGGAAUCAUUGGGCGUAAAGAGCGUGUAGGCGGCCCGAUAAAGUCCGCUGUGAAAGUCCAGGGCUCAACCCUGGGAUGCCGGUGGAUACUGUCGGGCUCGAGUCCGGAAGAGGAGUGUGGAAUUCCUGGUGUAGCGGUGAAAUGCGCAGAUAUCAGGAGGAACACCAAUGGCGAAGGCAGCACUCUGGGACGUGACUGACGCUGAGACGCGAAAAGCGUGGGGGAGCAAACAGG
rnacentral:rRNA from 1 species